GUGGUUUAAUUCGAAGCAACGCGAAGAACCUUACCAGGUCUUGACAUCCUUUUGAAUGGUCUAGAGAUAGAUCAGGCCUUCGGGACAGAAGAGACAGGUGGUGCAUGGUUGUCGUCAGCUCGUGUCGUGAGAUGUUGGGUUAAGUCCCGCAACGAGCGCAACCCUUAUCAUUAGUUGCUAACAUUCAGUUGAGAACUCUAAUGAGACUGCCAGUGAUAAACUGGAGGAAGGUGGGAUGACGUCAAAUCAUCAUGCCCCUUAUGACCUGGGCUACACACGUGCUACAAUGGCCGGUACAAAGAGUUGCGAAACUGUGAAGUUAAGCUAAUCUCAUAAAGCCGGUCUCAGUUCGGAUUGUAGUCUGCAACUCGACUACAUGAAGUCGGAAUCGCUAGUAAUCGCGAAUCAGAAUGUCGCGGUGAAUACGUUCUCGAGUCUU
rnacentral:rRNA from 1 species